rnacentral:rRNA from 1 species
AGAGUUUGAUCCUGGCUCAGGACGAACGCUGGCGGCGUGCCUAAUACAUGCAAGUAGAACGCUGAAGAGAGGAGCUUGCUCUUCUUGGAUGAGUUGCGAACGGGUGAGUAACGCGUAGGUAACCUGCCUUGUAGCGGGGGAUAACUAUUGGAAACGAUAGCUAAUACCGCAUAACAAUGGAUGACACAUGUCAUUUAUUUGAAAGGGGCAAUUGCUCCACUACAAGAUGGACCUGCGUUGUAUUAGCUAGUAGGUGAGGUAAUGGCUCACCUAGGCGACGAUACAUAGCCGACCUGAGAGGGUGAUCGGCCACACUGGGACUGAGACACGGCCCAGACUCCUACGGGAGGCAGCAGUAGGGAAUCUUCGGCAAUGGGGGCAACCCUGACCGAGCAACGCCGCGUGAGUGAAGAAGGUUUUCGGAUCGUAAAGCUCUGUUGUAAGUCAAGAACGGGUGUGAGAGUGGAAAGUUCACACUGUGACGGUAGCUUACCAGAAAGGGACGGCUAACUACGUGCCAGCAGCCGCGGUAAUACGUAGGUCCCGAGCGUUGUCCGGAUUUAUUGGGCGUAAAGCGAGCGCAGGCGGUUUGAUAAGUCUGAAGUUAAAGGCUGUGGCUCAACCAUAGUUCGCUUUGGAAACUGUCAAACUUGAGUGCAGAAGGGGAGAGUGGAAUUCCAUGUGUAGCGGUGAAGUGCGUAGAUAUAUGGAGGAACACCGGUGGCGAAAGCGGCUCUCUGGUCUGUAACUGACGCUGAGGCUCGAAAGCGUGGAGCGAACAGGAUUAGAUACCCUGGUAGUCCACGCCGUAAACGAUGAGUGCUAGGUGUUGGAUCCUUUCCGGGAUUCAGUGCCGCAGCUAACGCAUUAAGCACUCCGCCUGGGGAGUACGACCGCAAGGUUGAAACUCAAAGGAAUUGACGGGGGCCCGCACAAGCGGUGGAGCAUGUGGUUUAAUUCGAAGCAACGCGAAGAACCUUACCAGGUCUUGACAUCCCGAUGCUAUUUCUAGAGAUAGAAAGUUACUUCGGUACAUCGGUGACAGGUGGUGCAUGGUUGUCGUCAGCUCGUGUCGUGAGAUGUUGGGUUAAGUCCCGCAACGAGCGCAACCCCUAUUGUUAGUUGCCAUCAUUCAGUUGGGCACUCUAGCGAGACUGCCGGUAAUAAACCGGAGGAAGGUGGGGAUGACGUCAAAUCAUCAUGCCCCUUAUGACCUGGGCUACACACGUGCUACAAUGGUUGGUACAACGAGUUGCGAGUCGGUGACGGCGAGCUAAUCUCCUAAAGCCAAUCUCAGUUCGGAUUGUAGGCUGCAACUCGCCUACAUGAAGUCGGAAUCGCUAGUAAUCGCGGAUCAGCACGCCGCGGUGAAUACGUUCCCGGGCCUUGUACACACCGCCCGUCACACCACGAGAGUUUGUAACACCCGAAGUCGGUGAGGUAACCUUUCGGAGCCAGCCGCCUAAGGUGGGACAGAUGAUUGGGGUGAAGUCGUAACAAGGUA